rnacentral:tRNA from 1 species
UGCGGAUGUGGUGAAAUUGGCAGACACGCCAGACUUAGGAUCUGGUGCCUCACGGCGUGAAGGUUCAAGUCCUUUCAUCCGCACCAU